rnacentral:rRNA from 1 species
UACGAAGGGGGCUAGCGUUGCUCGGAAUCACUGGGCGUAAAGCGCACGUAGGCGGACUCUUAAGUCGGUGGUGAAAUCCUGGAGCUCAACUCCAGAACUGCCUUUGAUACUGAAGAUCUCGAGUCCGGGAGAGGUGAGUGGAACUGCGAGUGUAGAGGUGAAAUUCGUAGAUAUUCGCAAGAACACCAGUGGCGAAGGCGGCUCACUGGCCCGGUACUGACGCUGAGGCACGAAAGCGUGGGGAGCAAACAGG